rnacentral:rRNA from 1 species
AACGAACGCUGGCGGCAUGCCUAACACAUGCAAGUCGAACGAGACCUUCGGGUCUAGUGGCGCACGGGUGCGUAACGCGUGGGAACCUGCCCUUAGGUUCGGAAUAACUCCCCGAAAGGGGUGCUAAUACCGGAUAAUGUCUUCGGACCAAAGAUUUAUCGCCUUUGGAUGGGCCCGCGUUGGAUUAGCUAGUUGGUAGGGUAAAAGCCUACCAAGGCGACGAUCCAUAGCUGGUCUGAGAGGAUGAUCAGCCACACUGGGACUGAGACACGGCCCAGACUCCUACGGGAGGCAGCAGUGGGGAAUAUUGGACAAUGGGCGAAAGCCUGAUCCAGUAAUGCCGCGUGAGUGAUGAAGGCCGUAGGGUUGUAAAGCUCUUUUACCCGGGAUGAUAAUGACAGUACCGGGAGAAUAAGCUCCGGCUAACUACGUG